rnacentral:rRNA from 1 species
AGCGAACGCUGGCGGCAGGCCUAACACAUGCAAGUCGAACGAACCUUUCGGGGUUAGUGGCGGACGGGUGAGUAACACGUGGGAACGUGCCUUUAGGUUCGGAAUAACUCAGGGAAACUUGUGCUAAUACCGAAUGUGCCCUUCGGGGGAAAGAUUUAUCGCCUUUAGAGCGGCCCGCGUCUGAUUAGCUAGUUGGUUGAGGUAAUGGCUCACCAAGGCGACGAUCAGUAGCUGGUCUGAGAGGAUGAUCAGCCACAUUGGGACUGAGACACGGCCCAAAAUCCUACGGGAGGCAGCAGUGGGGAAUCUAGCGCAAUGGGCGAAAGCCUGACGCAGCCAUGCCGCGUGAAUGAUGAAGGUCUUAGGAUUGUAAAAUUCUUUCACCGGGGACGAUAAUGACGGUACCCGGAGAAGAAGCCCCGGCUAACUUCGUG